rnacentral:rRNA from 1 species
UACAGAGGUCCCAAGCGUUGUUCGGAUUCAUUGGGCGUAAAGGGUGCGUAGGCGGCGCGGUAAGUCGGGUGUGAAAUCUUGGAGCUUAACUCCGAAACUGCAUUCGAUACUGCCGUGCUUGAGGACUGGAGAGGAGACUGGAAUUUACGGUGUAGCGGUGAAAUGCGUAGAUAUCGUAAGGAAGACCAGUGGCGAAGGCGAGUCUCUGGACAGCAACUGACGCUGAGGCACGAAGGCCAGGGGAGCAAACGGG